UACCAGCACCCCGAGUGGUCGGGACGAUUAUUGGGCCUAAAGCAUCCGUAGCCGGUCCUACAAGUCUUCCGUUAAAUCCACCUGCUUAACAGAUGGGCUGCGGAAGAUACUAUAGGGCUAGGAGGCGGGAGAGGCAAGCGGUACUCAGUGGGUAGGGGUAAAAUCCUCUGAUCCAUUGAAGACCACCAGUGGCGAAGGCGGCUUGCCAGAACGCGCUCGACGGUGAGGGAUGAAAGCUGGGGGGAGCAAAGCCG
rnacentral:rRNA from 1 species